AUGAACGCUGGCGGCGUAGCCUAACACAUGCAAGUCGAACGGAGAUUAAACGCUGAUGAGGCUCGGCGGAUCUGUUUAAUCUUAGUGGCGGACGGGUGAGUAACGCGUGGGCAACCUGCCUCAUACUGGGGGAUAACAGCUGGAAACGACUGUUAAUACCGCAUAAGCGCACAGUGUCGCAUGACACAGUGUGAAAAACUCCGGUGGUAUGAGAUGGGCCCGCGUCAGAUUAGCUAGUUGGUAAGGUAACGGCUUACCAAGGCGACGAUCUGUAGCCGGACUGAGAGGUCGGACGGCCACAUUGGGACUGAGACACGGCCCAAACUCCUACGGGAGGCAGCAGUGGGGGAUAUUGCACAAUGGAGGAAACUCUGAUGCAGCGACGCCGCGUGAGUGAAGAAGUAUCUCGGUAUGUAAAGCUCUAUCAGCAGGGAAGAAAGGCCCGUAAGGGAGAUGACGGUACCUGACUAAGAAGCCCCGGCUAACUACGUGCCAGCCGCGGC
rnacentral:rRNA from 1 species